ensembl:lncRNA
CACCUGGCCAUCUUGGGCUCGGAGAAUUAGUCAGUGAGACAGAAAGAAAAAAGAGAGGAAGUGAUCAAAUAAAAUCCAAUGGAAAGGUGAAGGGAAAGAGAAGGGGACAGAGGAAGUGUAGCAUGUGUCAGUCAAGUGUAGAGGAGAUACACAGCAGAGUGGGACAAAACGUAAAGUGUUGUUGUCAUGGCAAAUCGCUGGUGUCCGUCACUGGAGCAAUUCACCCCUGCCAGCCUCCAUUUUGGAUCAUCGGGUGGUCUCAAGACAGAGAUAAAAGAAGGGGAAGAAGAAGAGGAGGAGGAAGAACGCUCACCCAUCUACUCCCUCUCCAAGAGCUCUGUGGACAUAGUCAUGGCAACGAAAUCCCCACACCUGCGAGACCCUGCGUGGGCAAAACUGGAUCUGAGACGGAGUGCCAGCCAAAAUACACAGUCCUUCCCAAACUCAAACACAUUACAGCUCAGACCACUGCAGCAAUACGGACAACACACACCCACGCAGCCAAACGUGGCUCAAAACAUACACCAGCACGGAUCUCCCCUUAGAAACGAAUGUGUGGAGCGUUGGAGUGUGUAUAGCGGUAGCUUGUGUAGCAGUGGUAGCACACCAGAGACUGUAAUAUGGAAGGGAGGGGCCUCCCGCCCCUGUAGUAUGACUGAGGAGACCCUGCGCGUCCCGUACAUUGCUUGUUGCUUUGAGUCUCAGAAUUCGGUGCAAACACCAGCCACAACCUCACCUUGUCCCAUUCCUCAAAACACCAACAGCCCAGUGAUACACACAUGCCACCCCUUACACCAAUUCAGACCAUCACCCCUAACCACAGACACACGCUGUCAGACAGACCAAUCCUUACCUAUGUCCUCCGCCGUACAUGUAACCUCACCACAACCCUUAACCAUGACCACCGAAGGACGCCAACUAAAUCCGUUUUACCUUGCCCCUCACGCUCCUCCCUGCCCCUUCCCAUCUCCUUCCCGUAAAGCUCAGGGUGUGGAAGGUACGGAGGAGAGGAGCAGCAGUGAGAAGUUCCCUCUACAGCCACAGUGCACCAACUUGAGGACGUACUAUGGAGAGAGGUCUCCUAUGGGUGUUGGCCUGGGCAACCCUGUACAGCAGCAAGAAGUAGAGACGAGCUCUCCUGUGUUUUUACCUACCUCCCCACCUGUGCACCUGGCCAUGUCAUGGUUACCAAGACACACCUGUCAGUCUGGCCGGGUUCAGAGGUUGGCAGGAUUGGUCUUUUCCUCCAGUGACUCUCAGUUGGAUGGCUGCAACCGCAGCUGCUAUAACUCUGCCCACUCAGGGAUCAUGAACUUAAUGACAUCAUUACCCCAGGGAACACGUUUCAGGGAGGAAGGGACGAUGACAUCACAGAGGGAGUUGGUGGAUGUUGGGGUGCAGGUGGGGUCACCCCAUAGCACUCUGAAGGAUCCUGGGUCAGACAUGUAUCUGUUUCCCCCCCAGCUGUGCCACAUCUACAUGGGCUCCAACAGUUAUCUAAGUUCACAGUCUGUCUUGGGGUCCCCUCCAGGGUCAAGUUUAAACCUGAGGUCAGCAUUUGGCUCCCAGUCCAAUCUGGCAUCAUCCUCUUCCAGUAUGUUCCCCUUGGACAGCCCCAGGGAGGAGUUGGAAGUGGUGUGGGAGAAGACAGGGGAGAUGGGGAGGAGGAGGUCCUGUCUGAAGGUGGCAGUACAGGGUGAGGACAGCAGGAGUGGAGGACACAGAAAGAGGAGAAAUAGCAUGAAGCAGGUGCAAUGGGAUGAAGACGGACUGACCUGGGAUGUUUACGGAGCCUCUCUAGACCCAGAAGAACUGAGCUCGGCAAUACAGGUUUGUGAAACACCUGCAACUCAAGACCCGGAUAGACAACCUAACCACAGAAUUCACAGCCAAGACCAAAAUCAAGUCAAGGAAUAA